AACGAACGCUGGCGGCAGGCCUAACACAUGCAAGUCGAGCGCCCCGCAAGGGGAGCGGCGGACGGGUGAGUAACGCGUGGGAACGUACCCUUUGCUACGGAAUAGCCUCGGGAAACUGGGAGUAAUACCGUAUGUGCCCUUCGGGGAAGGAUUUAUCGGCAAAGGAUCGGCCCGCGUUGGAUUAGGUAGUUGGUGGGGUAAGUGGCCUACCAAGCCGACGAUCCAUAGCUGGUUUGAGAGGAUGAUCAGCCACACUGGGGACUGAGACACGGCCCAGACUCCUACGGGAGGCAGCAGUGGGGGAAUCUUAGACAAUGGGCGCAAGCCUGAUCUAGCCAUGCCGCGUGAGCGAUGAAGGCCUUAGGGUUGUAAAGCUCUUUCAGUGGGGAAGAUAAUGACUGUACCCCCACGAAGAAGCCCCGGCUAACUCCGUGCCAGCAGCCGCGGUAAAGUACAGUGU
rnacentral:rRNA from 1 species